rfam:TPA: Bos taurus chromosome 5, whole genome shotgun sequence.
UCCCUGGUGGUCCAGUGGCUAAGACUCUCAGCUCCCAAGCAGGGGGCCCAGGUUCAUUCCCUGGCCAGGGAA